UGUUGGGUUAAGUCCCGCAACGAGCGCAACCCUUAUCCUGUGUUGCCAGCAAGUUAUGUUGGGGACUCGCAGGAGACUGCCGGGGUCAACUCGGAGGAAGGUGGGGAUGACGUCAAGUCAUCAUGCCCCUUAUGCCCAGGGCUGCAAACACGCUACAAUGGCCGGUACAGAGGGCUGCGAUCCCGCGAGGGUGAGCGAAUCCCACAAAGCCGGUCUCAGUUCGGAUUGGAGUCUGCAACUCGACUCCAUGAAGCCGGAGUUGCUAGUAAUCCCGGAUCAGCACGCCGGGGUGAAUACGUUCCCGGGCCUUGUACACACCGCCCGUCACACCACGAAAGUCGGUAACACCCGAAGCCGGUGGCCCAACCCUCUGGGAGGGAGCCGUCGAAGGUGGGAUCGGUGAUUGGGGUG
rnacentral:rRNA from 1 species